rnacentral:lncRNA from 1 species
UCAACUAAAUCUUAAGUGCUGUAAUACUACCCAUACAUUCAAGGAUUGGUUCAUUUGGAAAUUGAAAAAUGAACAAUUCUAUUUCUACAAUCAACUGAGGCAUAACAUUAAUGGAGCCAAUCCAUGCCAAGAAUGACAUCAAAAUCCAUCAUAUCUAACUCUACUAAGUCUGUUGAAGUGACUUUAUGAGAUAUCAUAACCAAAAAUUUCCUAUAUACCCGCCGGGAUAUG